rnacentral:lncRNA from 1 species
UACGAUCGAGUAGCAGAUCGAGCAGAAGGGACGCGAAGCAGAACCACCUGUCACUCGAUGCACACACUCGAGUGACAUGAUCGAGCAAAGCAAAGAAGUAGCUGAUGAUUUCAUAGAUCACUCGACACAUUCACUCGAGAUACGUAUGAAAUGAUGCAGAGAAGAAAUUAAGUGUUACUCGACACGCUCACUCGACCGACAGGGCCAUUACAACUUUUAAACCGCUUUUACGUUGUCGUUUUAUGUUUUAAAGUUUUCUCAAACAUUGUUAUAAAUAGGUCUCAUUUGGUUUGCCCAAGGGAUCGAGUUUUUAUUAGGUUUUUGUUGUUAGCCACCAAACAAUCCAGAAAAUUGUAAUUCAUAUUUCUUUUGAGUUAUUGAGAUUUUGCAACUAGUUCUUGAAUCAUUGUUGUUACUCUUCCUAUCAUCCUUAUUAUUAAGCAUGUUUUAAACGAUUUGUGUUUGAUGAUGUUUAACAUGAUUUCUGCAUCUGAGUAAUGUUAGGGUUCUUGAGGAUGGGAUAGAUUAGGUGGAGGAUGUUAGUUUGCUAGAGUGUUUAUGUUAGAUUCGUUUUGAUUCCCUUCUGGAUUAAUUAGAGUUUUAUUAGCUAGUUCUUCUCUGAUCAAUUGGAACAGGGUCAUAGACAUUUCAUACCCGAAAGGUAUAUGAUGAAAUGUCUUAACCAACUAGUGCCAGAGAUUUACAUGCUUAGCCCAAGAGAUUGGUUGUCUAAGAUGUUUAUUGACAUUAAUGAGCUGUUUCUUUAUGCAUGUUUACUACAUGUUUCAUCAAUGAGAAUUGAGAUUAGGAAGUGUUGUAAACUUGAUAGUUUCUGCCAAGAGAUUGGAUUGACUAGUAUUAGAAGUUCAUUGUCUAGGGAUUAGAAUGUUUGCAGUUUGAUAAACACUCGAAGUAGAUUAGCAUACUCCACCUACAUCAAUAACCUCAUCCUCGGGAGCUUCUAUCCAUUUGUGCUUUCUGUUUAAUUCUCUUGUUAUUUACUUGUUCUGCUUUGUUUUCUUGUCAGUAUCAAUAAUCGUUACGUUUUAGCUUAUGCAUGGUAGUCUACGUUUUACAGCCUUACAUUUAUCGCAUGUUUAACAUGUUCACUUAGGAUCACUGAAAACCAAAAAUCAUUAAUGCUUGUUUGACUUAAUCAUUUCUGAUAUAUCUUGAUUGCUAGCAUCACACCUGAUUGGAUUGAUACCUAUUGUACUGCAAUGACAUGAUAGUACUCUAGGGAAAUUGAUAGCAAAAUCCUAGUAUCAAUUUGGCGCCGCUGCCAUUUGGGUGUUUGUUUGUUACAUUUAAGAUUUCAGACUUGCUAAGAUCAAGUUUUUACUCAACAUUCAGUACAGUUACUCAUUCUGUUCUUUCUGUUUGUCUAUUGCUUCAGGUACAACUCUUGCCCAACUGCUCCUAUUCGACUGACACACUCAACCGUCUCGCGAGCUAAGUUGAUUUGAUUUGUAUGCACACACGGUCGCAAGGCACAGACAACUUGUUCCAGCCCUCCGACCAUAUUGAUCGCUUGGUACCUGCAUCAAGACAGCAACGUAAUAGAGUUACACCACCACAAGUGGAGAUGGAAAACAUUCACAACCUCCUCCACCACGGGCACCUACACGGAUUGGAGCUGGUGAUGCUCCACGCAACCAUACCCAUCGUCAGGGUGUAGUGCCUCCAGCCGUGCAGAACAACAACUUUGAGAUCAAGAGUGGUCUGAUCUCCAUGGUCCAGCAUAAUAAAUUUCAUGGUCUGUCUAUGGAAGACCCCCUGGAUCACCUCGAUGAGUUUGAUCGUCUCACCAAGAUCAACGGGGUCAGUGAGGAUGGUUUUAAGCUCCGACUCUUCCCAUUCUCUCUGGGUGACAAAGCGCAUCAAUGGGAGAAAACUCUACCUCAUGGAUCUAUCACCUCCCUGGAACAAUGCAACCAGUCAUUUCUUGCCAAGUUCUUCUCAAACUCCAGAACUGCACGUCUGCGCAAUGAGAUUUCUGGGUUCACUCAGAAGAAUGGUGAAACACUCUGUGAAGCUGGGAGCGCUUCAAAAGUUAUCAGUCUCAGUGUCCCCACCAUGGCUUCAGCAAAGAGUCUCUCCUCAGUAAUCUCUACCGGAGCGUUCUUCCAAAGAUCAGGAUGUUAUUUGACACUGCCAGCAACGGCAACUUUCUGAACAAGGACGUCUACGAUGGUUGGGAGCUUGUUGAGAAACUAGCCCAAUCUGAUGGCAGCUACAAUGAAGACUAUGAUAGAACCAUCAGGGCAAGCACAGAUCUUGAUGAGAAGUACAAGAAGGAGAUGAAAGCUGUGAAUGAUAAGCUGGACAGACUCUUGAUGAGCCAGCAAAGGAAUGUCCAUUUCGUCUCUGAAGAAUACCCUUUCCAGAUUCCAGAUGGGGAGGGAGAACAUUCGUAGGAGAUAAGCUAUGUACAGAAUCAAGGUGGAUACAACACAGGAUACAACUCCUAUAAGCAAAACCCCAAUAUGUCUUAUAGGACCACUAACGUUGCAAAUCCACAAGACCAAGUAUAUCCACCUCCACCACAGCAGCAGGGGCAAAACAAGUUAUUUGUGCCUUACAACCAAGGUUAUGUGCCCAAACAACAGUUUCAGCAAGGUUACCAAUCUCCAACUGGACCACCACCAGGAUUCCAACCUCAAAAAGCUCCGCCACCUCAGGCACCAGAUCAUGACAUGAAAAACAUGCUGCAAUAGUUAUUGCAAGGACAGACAAGUGGAUCUAUAGAGUCUGCUAAGAAGUUUGCAGAGAUGAAUAAUAAGAUGGACUACACAUACAAUGCUCUCAAUCUCAAGAUUGAAGCCUUGACCUCUAGAAUGCUUCACCUGGAAAGCAAGAAUGCAUCUACUUCUUCAGGACAACUCCCAGGGAAAGCCGUCCACAACCCCAAAGAGUUUGCAACAUCCCAUGCCAUCACCUUAAGAGAGUUACCUAUUACAAAAAAGUUUUAUGGAUAUCACUGCGGACAGUGAGGAUCUAGAUGGGGAGGAUUUUUCUCCAAAUGAAGAUUCCACACAACUAAUCAAAGUCGAUCAUGAUCCACCUGCCAUGGUAAAACAUGAUGUUCCAAAGAGUAAGGAACCACGUUACAUUCCUCCACCCUACACGCCUCCAUUACCAUUCCCUGAAAGAUUCAAGAAAAAAAUAAUGGAGAAGUAUAAAGGACUGCUCGACACACUCGAAGGGACUGAACUAACAAAAGCUUUGGUAGAUGCUCAUGCAAAGAUUCUGUCUUACAAUAAAAUCUUGAAAGAGGUCCUAUUGGGAAGGAUUCAAGAGAAGAAGGAAAUAACUAAAGAUGCUGAGGAGAAAGCUGAGGAAGAUGAGAGAGUAAAAUCAGUUAACCAUGAGUGUUGUGCCAUUGUCCAUAAAGAGGUUAUCCCAAAGAAGCUAGAAGAUCCUGGUUCAUUUACUUUGCCUUGCACAAAAGGUCCACUAUCUUUCAGUAGGUCUCUCUGUGACCUAGGAGCGUCAGUUAGUCUCAUGCCUCUCUCUGUGUCUAGAAGGUUAGGUUUUACACAAUACAAAACCUGCAACCUAUCCCUCAUCUUGGCAGACAGAACGGUUAGGGUUCCAUAUGGCUUGUUGGAAGAUCUCCCAGUAAAGAUUGGUGAAGUAGAAGUACCAACUGACUUCAUUGUUUUGGAGAUGGAUGAUGAGCCUCAAGAUCCACUCAUCCUAGGAAGACCAUUCUUAGCUACAGCAGGAGCAAUCAUUGAUGUCGGAAAAGGGAUGAUUGAUCUCAAUCCGGGUAAAAACUUCAAGAUGAAGUUUGAUAUCAAGGACGUCUUGAGUACGCCAACAGUUGAUGGGCACACUUUCUCCACUGAAGAUGACUCAACUAAGCAAAUACUCAAGCAAGGUGUCAAAGAAUCUAUGGAUCCCUCAUCGGAUGGUUGUUUAGAACUUCGAAUUAUCAAUGUUUUGAAAGAUUCAGUGAAAAGGUUAACAACUAUGGUCAAGCAAAUGGGUGGGCAAAUCAAGAAAUUCAAAAGAAAAAUCAAUGGUCCUUGUCCAAGGAGACAGAGUGUGAGUGUAAAGAUGAGCAGCAGAUCCUGUGAUAUUGACCUAGGAAAAAGAGGAGGAAUGAAAUCUCUAAGAAUAGAGGGUGCUUCAACACCUCUCUAUGAGCCUCCUUAAGCCUAAAAGGCAUAAACAGUCAAGCUUAGUGACUUUAAACAAGCUCAUUUGGGAGGAAAUCCCAAAGUUAUCCCUGUAAAUACUGCUUAGGAUUUCUUGUUAUUUUGAUUUUUGUUUUUGGUUUUAUGUUGGUCAGGACGUCAGACAUGUUCAUAUAUGUUCGUCCACGAGUGAUGUACUAGCACGCAAUAGAACUCCUUCUCCAUCAAGACAUUCCGCUUAUGACUAUAGGGCACAAUGUUUCUUUCUCUCCUCUAAGACAAUCUUCCCAUGAUCUUAGGGACAGCAAGAAGAAAGAGAAAAGGAAAAAGAAGAAUGCAGCAAGGCGGAAAGCAAAGGCGAGCAUCACGUUGAGGAUUUGACUAUGAAUCCAGACAAGCAUCUCAUUGAAGACCGGACUGUUGAUCCAGGAGCGUAUUAUUUUGAAGAUCCUAGGGAUCCGGUUGUACAUCAUGUUGAGGAUCCGGUCGAGCAGAACGUUGAGCAACUAGUAGAGGCUCCUCCUGUGCAGUCUGCACCAGGCCCUUAUACAAGCGAGUCCAUGACUACAUACCUGGACUGUUAUUUUCAGUAAGGUACCACUCCAAACCUUCAUUUGUAUAUACCAUUGCAUUUUCAUACUUUUGUUUGUUUGAUUCUCAAACCAACUCUCAAAUUUUUAUUACACAAGGGACUGUGUAAUUUAAGUUUGGGGGAGGGUUUGGGAUGACAUUUGAUGUUGUGUUCUCUUUUUUUAUUUCGUAUUUUUAGCAUAUAAUUUGCAUUCAUAUAUAUGCAUUGAAAACUCCUAAAAAUUUGAAAAGUUUUCAGAAAAAAAUCUUUAAAAACAGAGUGAUCAUGUAGCUUGCAUUUGCAUACUAGGAUUGAGUCUAGAUUAUUUCAUGUAGGACUGUUGCAUUAGCAUAGGGGGCGAUGAUGAUUUACACCUUGUUAACUUGCUAUGAUUCACUAGUUGAGAUCAAUGCCCUGGUAUUUAGCUCUUUGAUGCAUGAUGAUUGAACUUGAAAUAAGUCUGAAACAAACUUGGAAUUCAUGAAGAGCAUUCUUGAACUUGGUUGAAGCAUGUUGUGGUAUGAUCUCAUUUCUUACCUUAUAAGAACUUAAUCUUGACUUGCAAAAAUCUGGUUGUGUUUUGCUUGCAUGCUCAUGGUCACCAUAUACAUAUUUGGAUCAUCUUCCUCCUUUCACCACUCUUGUUGAUCCAAGUAGUUGAUAUUUCUUUUGAUCAGUUUGCCAUACCCACAUCCUUUUCUUUCAAGCCAAUUGAUAAUUUUUGAGUGGUAGGUCUUUUACCGGAUUAUGCUUGGGGAGAACGUGUUAGGUAUGAGCCGACAUGAUUAAAAUCUUGAGUAGUUCUGCUUUUCACUUUCAAAUCAGAUAGGACUAGGUCUGGAUUCUUACUUGGGUUUAGGAUUGGAAUGAUUGUGGAAAGCAAGAAGAGAAACAAAAAACGUUGUGUCCUUAGGAUGAGAAUGUUUUUCUAGAAGUUUAUACUCUAGUGAUUGAUUUUUAUGAAGAUAGCAUGAUAUACAGAGAAUGGUUAUGGGAUGUAAAGAAAGAGAAAAAGUUUUGAUGUUUUAUAACAUAAGAAGAAAACAGAACCAUAGUAAGGACGAAACCCCCUAUCCACUAGUAUUGAUAAGAAACUUCUCUUAAUGCAAAAAGAAAAAAAAUGGGAUUGAUGUUGAAAGGUAGACAUAGGAAUCAUUCGGGUUUAGAUGAUUAGGAGUAAGCACUUGGGAACCAUUGGGUAGUCAACGUUUUAUUCCUGUAUGCAUUUGUUGGUCCUUACCUUUAGCAUUCUCCCUAAAGCUCAAUCCAUUCAUUGAGAGAUCCUUGUCCUGAAAUUGUUUAAACCCUCUUGAUUCUCAAAUCCUUUUUCUGCCUAGCCAAGUGAGUUUGUUAAGCCUUGCACAACCAGAUUCAUAUUCUUGAGUAAUGAAUGUUAAAAGGAAUGAAUGAUUUGGAAUGCAUGUGUAGAUCAAGGGAUAUAAUCAGUUUCGGAUUUGAUGAGUUUGUCUAAAGUGUUUAAGUAAAGUUCUCUCAGCAUGCAUCAAAGACUUAGCAACCAGGACAUUGAUUUUAACUGCUCUAUCUUGCAAGUUACAGGUUCUGAGACCCCAUUUUCAACCCUCUCUUCCACUUUGUUUCUUUUGCUUUGCUUGAGGGCAAGCAAAGACUAAGUUUGGGGGAGUUGAUAAGUCUGUAUUUCAUCACUUUUUGGGCAUGCAUUCAUCAUCUUUUCAGCAUCAUUCACUUGUUGGUUCGCAUCAUAUUGAUCACUUUUGCAUGUUUUGCAUACUUAGGUAGGUUUUGUGCAUGUCAUGCACAUCUUGCAUACAUUCGCAUAUUGGAGUGUUUCAGGUACUAAGCAGACAUGCAUCACAGAGCAGAGGAACAAGUAUCACUCGACAGGCACACGAUCGAGUAGGAUGAUCGAGUAGGCAGCAGAGAUACAUUGCAAAUACAUCGACGAUCGAGUGAGCAGCAUAUGUAUACGAUCGAGUAGCAGAUCGAGCAGAAGGGACGCGAAGCAGAACCACCUGUCACUCGAUGCACACACUCGAGUGACAUGAUCGAGCAAAGAAAAGAAGUAGCUGAUGAUUUCACAGAUCACUCGAUACGUUCACUCAAGAUACACGGUCGAGUAUGAAAUGAUGCAGAGAAGAAAUUAAGUGUUACUCGACAUGCUCACUCGACCGACAGGGCCAUUACAACUUUUAAACCGCUUUUACGUUGUCGUUUUAUGUUUUAAGGUUUUCCCAAACAUUUUUAUAAAUAGGUCUCAUUUGGUUUGCCCAAGGGAUCGAGUUUUUAUUAGGUUUUUGUUGUUAGCCACCAAACAAUCAAGAAAAUUGUAAUUCAUAUUUCUUUUGAGUUAUUGAAAUUUUGC